rnacentral:rRNA from 2 species
CCUUGACCUCAAAUCGGGUGAGACUACCCGCUGAACUUAAGCAUAUCAAUA